GUACGUACAAGCAGUGGGAGCACGCUUAGGCGUGUGACUGCGUACCUUUUGUAUAAUGGGUCAGCGACUUAUAUUCUGUAGCAAGGUUAACCGAAUAGGGGAGCCGAAGGGAAACCGAGUCUUAACUGGGCGUUAAGUUGCAGGGUAUAGACCCGAAACCCGGUGAUCUAGCCAUGGGCAGGUUGAAGGUUGGGUAACACUAACUGGAGGACCGAACCGACUAAUGUUGAAAAAUUAGCGGAUGACUUGUGGCUGGGGGUGAAAGGCCAAUCAAACCGGGAGAUAGCUGGUUCUCCCCGAAAGCUAUUUAGGUAGCGCCUCGUGAAUUCAUCUCCGGGGGUAGAGCACUGUUUCGGCAAGGGGGUCAUCCCGACUUACCAACCCGAUGCAAACUGCGAAUACCGGAGAAUGUUAUCACGGGAGACACACGGCGGGUGCUAACGUCCGUCGUGAAGAGGGAAACAACCCAGACCGCCAGCUAAGGUCCCAAAGUCAUGGUUAAGUGGGAAACGAUGUGGGAAGGCCCAGACAGCCAGGAUGUUGGCUUAGAAGCAGCCAUCAUUUAAAGAAAGCGUAAUAGCUCACUGGUCGAGUCGGCCUGCGCGGAAGAUGUAACGGGGCUAAACCAUGCACCGAAGCUGCGGCAGCGACGCUGAUGCGUUGUUGGGUAGGGGAGCGUUCUGUAAGCCUGCGAAGGUGUGCUGUGAGGCAUGCUGGAGGUAUCAGAAGUGCGAAUGCUGACAUAAGUAACGAUAAAGCGGGUGAAAAGCCCGCUCGCCGGAAGACCAAGGGUUCCUGUCCAACGUUAAUCGGGGCAGGGUGAGUCGACCCCUAAGGCGAGGCCGAAAGGCGUAGUCGAUGGGAAACAGGUUAAUAUUCCUGUACUUGGUGUUACUGCGAAGGGGGGACGGAGAAGGCUAUGUUGGCCGGGCGACGGUUGUCCCGGUUUAAGCGUGUAGGCUGGUUUUCCAGGCAAAUCCGGAAAAUCAAGGCUGAGGCGUGAUGACGAGGCACUACGGUGCUGAAGCAACAAAUGCCCUGCUUCCAGGAAAAGCCUCUAAGCAUCAGGUAACAUCAAAUCGUACCCCAAACCGACACAGGUGGUCAGGUAGAGAAUACCAAGGCGCUUGAGAGAACUCGGGUGAAGGAACUAGGCAAAAUGGUGCCGUAACUUCGGGAGAAGGCACGCUGAUAUGUAGGUGAAGCGACUUGCUCGUGGAGCUGAAAUCAGUCGAAGAUACCAGCUGGCUGCAACUGUUUAUUAAAAACACAGCACUGUGCAAACACGAAAGUGGACGUAUACGGUGUGACGCCUGCCCGGUGCCGGAAGGUU
rnacentral:rRNA from 1 species